GCCUUCAUGGUGUAGUUGUCAGCACGCUCGGCUCAUAUUCGCGAGGUUCGUGGUUCGAGUCUCGGCGAGGGCA
rnacentral:tRNA from 1 species